UUGAACGCUGGCGGCAGGCCUAACACAUGCAAGUCGAGCGGAUGAAGGGAGCUUGCUCCUGGAUUCAGCGGCGGACGGGUGAGUAAUGCCUAGGAAUCUGCCUGGUAGUGGGGGAUAACGUCCGGAAACGGGCGCUAAUACCGCAUACGUCCUGAGGGAGAAAGUGGGGGAUCUUCGGACCUCACGCUAUCAGAUGAGCCUAGGUCGGAUUAGCUGGUUGGUGGGGUAAAGGCCUACCAAGGCGACGAUCCGUGACUGGUCUGAGAGGAUGAUCAGUCACACUGGAACUGAGACACGGUCCAGACUCCUACGGGAGGCAGCAGUGGGGAAUAUUGGACAAUGGGCGAAAGCCUGAUCCAGCCAUGCCGCGUGUGUGAAGAAGGUCUUCGGAUUGUAAAGCACUUUAAGUUGGGAGGAAGGGCAGUAAGUUAAUACCUUGCUGUUUUGACGUUACCAACAGAAUAAGCACCGGCUAACUUCGUG
rnacentral:rRNA from 1 species